UACGUAGGGGGCAAGCGUUGUCCGGAAUUAUUUGGGCGUAAAGAGCGUGUAGGCGGUCCGGUAAGUCGGCUGUGAAAGUCCAGGGCUCAACCCCUGGGAUGCCGGUCGAUACUGCCGGACUAGAGUUCGGAAGAGGCGAGUGGAAUUCCGGGUGUAGACGGUGGAAUGCGUAGAGAUCCGGAAGAACACCGGUGGCGAAGGCGGUCUGCUGG
rnacentral:rRNA from 1 species